ensembl:lncRNA
GUAGUGAGACAGAGACAUGUGUAAUGUCCCUGAAGGUAACGUUUCCUCUCUCUCCUGUCAUGGUGUCAUCAGUCCUGUGUUGUAUAUGUAGUGAGACAGACAUGUGUAAUGUCCCUGAAGGUAACGUUUCCUCUCUCUCCUGUCAUGGUGUCAUCAGUCCUGUGUUGUAUAUGUAGUGGACAGAGAAAUGUGUAAUGUCCCUGAAGGUAACGUUUCCUCUCUCCUGUCAUGGUGUCAUCAGUCCUGUGUUGUAUAUGUAGUGAGACAGAGAAAUGUGUAAUGUUCCUGAAGGUAACGUUUCCUCUCUCUCCUGUCAUGGUGUCAUCAGUCCUGUGUUGUAUAUGUAGUGAGACAGAGACAUGUGUAAUGUCCCUGAAGGUAACGUUUCCUCUCUCUCCUGUCAUGGUGUCAUCAGUCCUGUGUUGUAUAUGUAGUGAGACAGAGACAUGUGUAAUGUUCCUGAAGGUAACGUUUCCUCUCUCUCCUGUCAUGGUGUCAUCAGUCCUGUGUUGUAUAUGUAGUCAGACAGAGACAUAUGUAAUGUUCCUGAAGGUAACGUUUCCUCUCUCCUGUCAUGGUGUCAUCAGUCCUAUGUUGUAUAUGUAGUGAGACAGAGACAUGUGUAAUGUUCCUGAAGGUAACGUUUCCUCUCUCCUGUCAUGGUGUCAUCAGUCCUGUGUUGUAUAUGUAGUGAGACAGAGACAUGUGUAAUGUUCCUGAAGGUAACGUUUCCUCACUCCUGUCAUGGUGUCAUCAGUCCUGUGUUGUAUAUGUAGUGAGACAGAGACAUGUGUAAUGUUCCUGAAGGUAAUGUUUCCUCUCUCCUGUCAUGGUGUCAUCAGUCCUGUGUUGUAUAUGUAGUGAGACAGAGACAUGUGUAAUGUUCCUGAAGGUAACGUUUCCUCUCUCUCCUGUCAUGGUGUCAUCAGUCCUGUGUUGUAUAUGUAGUGAGACAGAGACAUGUGUAAUGUUCCUGAAGGUAACGUUUCCUCUCUCCUGUCAUGGUGUCAUCAGUCCUGUGUUGUAUAUGUAGUGAGACAGAGACAUGUGUAAUGUCCCUGAAGGUAACGUUUCCUCUCUCUCCUGUCAUGGUGUCAUCAGUCCUGUGUUGUAUAUGUAGUGAGACAGAGACAUGUGUAAUGUUCCUGAAGGUAACGUUUCCUCUCUGCUGUCAUGGUGUCAUCAGUCCUGUGUUGUAUAUGUAGUGAGACAGAGACAUGUGUAAUGUUCCUGAAGGUAAUGUUUCCUCUCUCCUGUCAUGGUGUCAUCAGUCCUGUGUUGUAUAUGUAGUGAGACAGAGACAUGUGUAAUGUUCCUGAAGGUAACGUUUCCUCUCUCUCCUGUCAUGGUGUCAUCAGUCCUGUGUUGUAUAUGUAGUGAGACAGAGACAUGUGUAAUGUUCCUGAAGGUAACGUUUCCUCUCUCCUGUCAUGGUGUCAUCAGUCCUGUGUUGUAUAUGUAGUGAGACAGAGACAUGUGUAAUGUCCCUGAAGGUAACGUUUCCUCUCUCUCCUGUCAUGGUGUCAUCAGUCCUGUGUUGUAUAUGUAGUGAGACAGAGACAUGUGUAAUGUUCCUGAAGGUAACGUUUCCUCUCUGCUGUCAUGGUGUCAUCAGUCCUGUGUUGUAUAUGUAGUGAGACAGAGACAUGUUCCUGAUCCUCUGUGGAGAAUUCUGCUGCUGAACCAGAAACACUGAAGGAAUCCUAACGGGAGGAGAACUCCCAUGAUGCACCACCACACCAAACUCCAGCUUCUACUAUUGUUUUGAUUGAGAGACCACUAGAAGCAGAACAUUACAUAUUGUGUGUUUAAACAGUCAUAAUAAAUAUUACCAUGCACAGAAGUUCAUUAUAAUUAACCCACAUUAAGAUCAUUGGUGUUUAAUUAUGUGGAACUGUUCUCUGGGAG